UACAGAGGUGGCAAGCGUUGUUCGGAAUUACUGGGCGUAAAGGGCGCGUAGGCGGUCUUGUAAGUCCGUUGUGAAAUCCCACGGCUCAACCGUGGAACUGCUCGGUAUACUGGCGAUCUUGGGCCACUUAGGGGCUAGCGGAACAAACGGUGGAGCGGUGAAAUGCGUAGAUAUCGUUUGGAACGCCAAUGGUGAAAACAGCUAGCUGGGAGUGUGCCGACGCUGAGACACGAAAGCCAGGGGAGCGAACGGG
rnacentral:rRNA from 1 species